UGUGUGUGUGUGUGUGUUCGUGUGCGCAGGUGCGCACACGUGCCUGGAUGUAUGUUUGUAUACCAUGUGCUUAUAUUGUUCAUGGAGGCCAGGAAACUGUCUCCUGGAGCUAGAGUUAAAAGGCCUUAACCCCUGAACCAUCUCUCUUGUCCUGGAUUCCUGUUCCUUUAUGUCUGCCUGUAAUUUAAAUCAGGUUUGAUUUAGAAAAAGGACUCAAAGUCAGAGCAACAUCUUCACUACAUCUUAAAAAUUAAGAAUGUGGAGAAAUACUUGGAAUGAAAUGCGCCAUCACCCAUAAAGAGUGAGUUUUUGCAAGAAGAAUUUGAGAUUUGCAGAAGAUCUGCAAACUCCCAUUGGAUGGGUUGAGGUGGGAGUGGGAAGGUGGGCGCUAGCUGAGGAGGUAUUGGCAUUUGGUAACUGCUGGGUUUUCAGUGAUGGGAUUCCUGGUAGCUUAGCCAUAAGCCAGAGCAGGUCCUACUUGUAAUGAGGACCUUGAGCAAUGUAACCUGGAAUCAAUGGAAAGGGGAUGUUGGCUAGGAGCCUGGGAGGAUGGUUAUGGGAGGACCCCAUAAAAUACAAAAUACAUUGUAUGAAAUUCUCACGAAAUAAAAAUACUCUUUAAAAAUCUUUUCUAAAAAA